rnacentral:rRNA from 1 species
GCAGUCACGGGCUGUCCGAGUUGUAAUCUAGAGAAGUAAUGCCCCGUGCUGGACCGUGUAUAAGUCUCCUGGGAUGGAGCGUCAUAGAGGGUGAGAAUCCCGUCUUUGACACGGACUACCAGUGCAUUGUGGUAUGCUCUCAAAGAGUCGAGUUGUUUGGGAAUGCAGCUCAAAAUGGGUGGUAAAUUCCAUCUAAAGCUAAAUAUUGGCGAGAGACCGAUAGCGAACAAGUACCGUGAGGGAAAGAUGAAAAGAACUUUGGAAAGAGAGUUAAACAGUACGUGAAAUUGCUGAAAGGGAAACGCUUGAAGUCAGUCGCGUUGGCCGGGAAUCAGCCUUGCUUCUGCAUGGUGUACUUUCUGGUUGACGGGUCAGCAUCAAUUUCGAUCGCUGGAAAAAGACAUGGGGAAUGUGGCAGCUUCGGCUGUGUUAUAGCCUCUAGUCGCAUACAGUGGUUGGGAUUGAGGAACUCAGCACGCCGCAAGGCCGGGUUUCGACCACGUUCGUGCUUAGGAUGCUGGCAUAAUGGCUUUAAGCGACCCGUCUUGAAACACGGACCAAGGAGUCUAACAUGCCUGCGAGUAUUUGGGUGGAAAACCCAAGUGCGUAAUGAAAGUGAAAGUUGAGAUCCCUGUCGUGGGGAGCAUCGACGCCCGGACCAGAACUUUUGGGACGGAUCCGCGGUGGAGCAUGUAUGUUGGGACCCGAAAGAUGGUGAACUAUGCCUGAAUAGGGUGAAGCCAGAGGAAACUCUGGUGGAGGCUCGUAGCGAUUCUGACGUGCAAAUCGAUCGUCAAAUUUGGGUAU